UUCCUCUGGAUAAUUUACUUUUAUAACUGUAUUGGUAUUGUGAGAAAAUGUAGCUACCACAAUAUCACCAUGGAAACCUGUCUGGUCACCUAAAACCUGAACGAUGAGUUGAGGAUUUAAUGCCAGCAGCUAGCUCUGAUGGUCACUAAUUGUAAUCCAGAUGCCAGCCACACAAAAAUGCAGCAAGACCUCCUCCAAACCCUUCACAUGUGGUAGCUCCUGAGAUUAAAACAUCACUCAGAUAGACUGCCCCUCUGGAAAGCCCUUGGAGGAUAGUCUCUGCCACUCUUUGGAAAAUGGCACAAGCUGAAGAUAACCCAAAGGGCAAGUGAGCGUACUUAUACCGUCUUUUCAACCCAGAGUGAAGCAGGGGCAUCCCAUGACCUGGAGCAGGGACAGUGGCCAGCUGGCCCAGAGCAAAACAGAGACAGCCAAUAGCCCAAAGUGGUGUGGGAGUGGCCAGAGGACCUGCAGCGGGGACAGCGGUCAGCAGACCCGGCCCGGAGUGAAGAUGGCUACUGGGGUUGGGAACCGGUGGAGCCCUGUCAGACUACGU